ensembl:lncRNA
GUGCCAGCCAAGACAGGUUCGACAGAGUCAGACACCCUGUAUUCACUCCUGAAGCCAGUGAAGAAACCAGACUUAGCUGGCCCCAGUGAUGUCACAUAUGCUGAUGUACAGAUUAAGAUGAAGCCACAGGGGAACAGAGCCAAACCCACGUCCUCUAAAGAAGAAUGUUUUUACUCUUCUGUCCAGCCCGGGUGCUCAUCAGAUGGAGGGUCCAGUGAUGCAACGUAUGCUCAAGUUAGAAAGGGAGCCAAAAAACCUGGAAACAAAAAUGCUUGACAAUGACACAAGUGCACUUCAAGUGACUCCAACUGCACAAGGAUGAAGUAGCAAAGCCUGGAUGUGUGAGAUCAUCAUCAUGAUCAAGAGCCAUGCACCCAUAAACAUCAUUUAACCAGAAGUAACGGGUAUCAACAGGUUGUGUUAGUGAGAUGCAUAGUGACUGCACUGCCAGAGUUAUUCCUUCCCUGUGCUGAGUGUCUUUCUGGUACUGUAGUAUAAUACAUGUUUAUCAUAUUUGA